rnacentral:rRNA from 1 species
GACGUAGGGCGCGAGCGUUGUCCGGAUUUAUUGGGCGUAAAGAGCUCGUAGGCGGCUUGUCGCGUCGUCCGUGAAAACUUGGGGCUCAACCCCAAGCUUGCGGUCGAUACGGGCAGGCUAGAGUUCGGUAGGGGAGACUGGAAUUCCUGGUGUAGCGGUGAAAUGCGCAGAUAUCAGGAGGAACACCGGUGGCGAAGGCGGGUCUCUGGGACGGUACUGACGCUGAGACGCGAAAGCGUGGGGAGCGAACAGG